rnacentral:rRNA from 1 species
UACGAAGGGGGCUAGCGUUGUUCGGAAUUACUGGGCGUAAAGCGUGUGUAGGCGGGUCUUUAAGUCAGGGGUGAAAUGCCAAGGCUCAACCUUGGAACUGCCUUUGAUACUGGAGACCUUGAGUCCGGGAGAGGUGAGUGGAAUUGCGAGUGUAGAGGUGAAAUUCGUAGAUAUUCGCAAGAACACCAGUGGCGAAGGCGGCUCACUGGCCCGGAACUGACGCUGAGAUGCGAAAGCGUGGGGAGCAAACAGG